AAAGUCGUAACAAGGUUUCCGUAGGUGAACCUGCGGAAGGAUCAUUUUUAACAUAAAUAACAGAAAAUACCAAAUUUUCUGGCAUUUCAAAACUGUGAACUGUUAAUAUCUUAACCUUAAAGCAUGCUUACGUAAUUAUCUAUAUGCUAGUUUCGAAAGAAACUUCAUUAAAAACAAAUACAACUUUUGACAAUGGAUCUCUUGGCUCUU
rnacentral:misc_RNA from 1 species